AUCUGGCUCAGGAUGAACGCUAGCGGCAGGCUUAACACAUGCAAGUCGAGGGGCAGCGCGAGUAGCAAUACUUGGCGGCGACCGGCGCAAGGGUGCGUAACGCGUGAGCAACAUGCCCGUAUCAGGGGGAUAAUCCAGGGAAACUUGGUCUAAUACCCCAUAGUAAUUUUGUAAGGCAUCUUAUAAGAUUUUAAAGCUUUGGUGGAUACGGAUUGGCUCGCGUGACAUUAGCUGGAUGGUAAGGUAACGGCUUACCAUGGCUAUGAUGUCUAGGGGUUCUGAGAGGAAGGUCCCCCCACACUGGAACUGAGACACGGUCCAGACUCCUACGGGAGGCAGCAGUGAGGAAUAUUGGACAAUGGAUGGAAAUCUGAUCCAGCCAUGCCGCGUGAAGGAAAGAAGGUCCUAUGGAUUGUAAACUUCUUUUGUAUGGGAGCAAUAAGGCCUACGAGUAGGUUGAUGAGAGUACCAUACGAAUAAAGCACCGGCUAACUCCGUGCCAGCCGCAGC
rnacentral:rRNA from 1 species